GCGGGGCCAGCCAAGUAAGGAGAAAGGGAAAAAAAAAUUCUCAAAACCAUCUCUCUGAGAAUUUGGAGGCUAGAGUUUUUAAGGACACUUUGGCAGGCAGGGGAUAGGAAACUUUUUAAAAAUGAUUGAUUGGGGAUGAAAUCACAGGGGUGCCUGAAACUGUCUUGGCUUAGCUGAGUCAGUUCCUGGGAGGGAGGUGUCUUAGGACCAGAUGGCAUCUCUUGGUUGGCUCUUGGUCUGCUGCUAAAUCUGAAAAAUAUGUCAAAGACCAGUUUUUUUAAGUUUCAUAAUAGUGAUGUUAUCUAUAGGAGUAGUUGGAGAAGUGUAAAACUUGUGACCCGCAGUUAUAUGACUCGGCAGCUGUAAGCAACUUAUAGAAAAACACAUAAAGCAAUGGCAGCAUCCCCCAGACAUCUAGAGUAUGCCAGCCCUGUCCGCCUUCUGAGAGCGAUGAGACAGAAACCCAUUUCUCGAGCAGUCCCCCCAAAAAGACAGACUGUGGGACACAUGCCACAACUUUUUCCCUUCCUAGAGAGAAGCUGAGAGUUGGGAGUUUCACCCUCUCGUUCUAUGCUGAGCUGGGAGGAGGGAGUAUGGAAGAAGCCAAGAAUUGGGAGUUUUCUGCUGAUCAUGCUAUACUAAGCUGGGCAGAGAGACCAUGGCGAGUGUUUCUUUAUAGCAAUGCAAAAAUGGACUAAUACAGCUCCAAUGGUGUUAUCCAUGUCCUUAUAAGAGGGAGACAGAAGGAGAUGUGUGAUCAAAGAUGAAGGCAAUGUGGUGACUAAAACAAGAUAUGAUACUGAUGGUUUUGAAGAUGGAGGAAGAGGCAAAGGAAUGCAAGGAAUGCAGCUCUAGCAGUCAAGAAAGUCAAGAGUCUCUGGGUCUCUGGAAAGAUUGUGGCUCUGUUGACACAUUGAUUUUGGCCAAGUGAAAUUGAUUUUCAGUUUCUGACUUCCAGAACAGUAGAAGAAUAAGUGUUUGUUGUUUCAAGCCACCAAGUUUAUGGUGAUUUGUUUCAGCAGCCAUAGAAAACUAAUACAUACCUAUUAUGCUUCAUUUUGUUAUUUUUAGCCUGUUAUUCUAGCCUGUCAAGAUUAUUUGGUUGUUAAAUAAACCUUUUGUAUUUUUAGAUGUUGAGUACUAGCUAUGGACGAGGUGUGAUGUAACAUGUUACUUAGAGUGUCUCUACUCCUCUUGAUGAUACUUUAUGUGAAUAUUAUUAACCUCAUUUUAUAGAUGAGAAAACUGAGGUUCAGAGUAAGUGGUUUGUCCAAGAUCAUACGAAAAAAAUCUUACCUGUGUUCAAAUACCAGUUUGUAGUUAGGAAGGUUUUACAUAUAUGGAGAUAAGGGUUAUAUGGGAAUUAUCUGUAUUUCUGCUCAAUUUUGCUAUGAAACUAAAAUUGCUCAAAAAUUAAAGUUUAUUAAUUAAAAUAAAACAGGGUGAUAUGGUUUGGAUCUGUGUCCUCACCCAAAUCUAAUGCUCAAAUGUAAU